UUUGUGAACUGCAAUUGAUGU
rnacentral:piRNA from 1 species